GAUAUACACGAAAAUGAUAUUCAUAAUCCCGAGGGCGUAGCCCGAGGGAUUAUGAAUAUCAUUUGAGUGUAUAUCUGAUACACCCACGAGGAAAAGGUCAUGUUCUAUAUUGUUUGUAUUAAGGGAAGCCAUAAGAAGGAAAGGUUAUGCGCAUGCUCAGUAGCACGUGGUACAACUGUAAGGGACCAAUAUGGCUGAAGGAGAAGGAGAACCACGAGAAAAAGCAGCAAAAGAAGCGAAUGAAAAUGUGUAAAGCGCUCAAUAAAGGUUUUGAACCCUUGGACACUAAUAGAGAUAUGAAGGUACUUACUCAACGGCGGUGUGGUGAGGUACAGAAUUCAUCUCAAAUUGACUAGUAGGAGCUACACUUGUUGAUAAAAGGUCGUCGCGAAGACUAAAAUCAUUCUGGAAUAUAUUGGGCAUGCAAUUCAAUCAACCUUUGCAGAAAUAAAGACUACUAUUAUAUCAGUUUAUUUACAAAAUCUUUUAUUAAUAACAUAUUUUGCUUUUUUACUAAUGACCUUUUGUUAUCAUUGUUAUCACAACUGAACAAGCCAAGCAUUACUUCCGGUGAAAUAUAUAUAUUGCACUGUCGGCGCCUUUAAUCAUAGCUAUGUCACAUCCUGGUAAAUAUGUAUAUUGCACCGGAAGUGAUCGUCUACCAGAUAUAAACCCAACGCGGUGCCUUUCAUCUUAUGGCUUCCCAUGAUA